rnacentral:sRNA from 1 species
AACCGGAGGAAAAAGAAACCAACAAGGGAAUGGCCUCAGUAACGGCGAGUGAAGCGGCAACAGCUCAAAUUUGAAAGCUGGCCCCCCCGGGGGUCCGCGUUGUAAUUUGUAGAGGAUGAUUCGGCGAGGGCUCCCGCCUAAGUCCCCUGGAACGGGGCGUCAUAGAGGGUGAGAAUCCCGUAUGCGGUGGGCUGCCUUAGCCAUGUGAAUCUCCUUCGACGAGUCGAGUUGUUUGGGAAUGCAGCUCUAAAUGGGAGGUAAAUUUCUUCUAAAGCUAAAUACCGGCCAGAGACCGAUAGCGCACAAGUAGAGUGAUCGAAAGAUGAAAAGCACUUUGGAAAGAGAGUUAAAAAGUACGUGAAAUUGUUGAAAGGGAAGCGCUUGCAGCCAGACUUGUCCGCAGUUGCUCAGCCGGUCUCCUGACCGGCGCACUCUUCUGCGGCCAGGCCAGCAUCAGUUCGGGCGGUCGGAUAAAGGCCCCGGGAACGUAGCUCCUCUCGGGGAGUGUUAUAGCCCGGGGUGGAAUGCGGCCAGCCUGGACUGAGGAUCUCGCUUCGGCUAGGAUGCUGGCGUAAUGGCUGUAAGCGGCCCGUCUUGAAACACGGACCAAGGAGUCUAACAUCUAUGCGAGUGUUUGGGUGUCAAACCCAUGCGCGUAAUGAAAGUGAACGGAGGUGGGAACCCUCGCGGGUGCACCAUCGACCGAUCCUGAUGUCUUCGGAUGGAUUUGAGUAAGAGCAUAGCUGUUGGGACCCGAAAGAUGGUGAACUAUGCCUGAAUAGGGUGAAGCCAGAGGAAACUCUGGUGGAGGCUCGCAGCGGUUCUGACGUGCAAAUCGAUCGUCAAAUUUGGGUAUAGGGGCGAAAGACUAAUCGAACCAUCGACUACUAGGUGGUUAAGAGGUGGCUGAAAGUGCCCACCUAGUCCCCCCGUCCUCGGACGGGGGGGCGACAUCGCCAAAUUGCGGGGACUCCCUUAGAGCCUCUACUACCGCGGCCGGCCGAAAGGCGCGGUGCAGCACCGGGUUAAUUGCCUAGGGUACGGUAAAAAGGUAGAGGAUUGGGAAAUCCGCAGCCAAGCGCCUAAGUCCCGCGGGAUACGGCGAAGGUUCAGAGACUAGAUGGCGGUGGGU